rnacentral:lncRNA from 1 species
CUCCUCCAUCUUUGUUGGCCUACGGAGGCGGGCUUUCUCCAUCCUCCUCCAUCUCUGUCUCCUUUGGCGGCUGAGCGGGCCUCGAAUUAAGUGGCCAAAUAGGGAAGCUUAGGCGCUGGACUUCUCCAACAACAAAACCCUCCUCCGCUCCUUUGCCACUGGCCCUACCCCCAGCUCCUCCUCACGUCGACUUCCACCAUGUUGUUUUUUUUUUUAGUUUUGAACCUUCUUUGUGGUUUCCCCCCAUGCCUCCCCUGCCUUCGCUGGCCCACGAAGGCAGGCCUCCGCCAUCUUCCUCAAUCUCCAUCUCCUUUGGCGGCUGAGCGGGCCUCGAACCAAGCGGCCAAAUAGGAAAACUUAGGCGCUGAACUUCUUCAAUAGCAAAAUCUUCCCCCGCUCCUUUGCCAUCAGCCCUGCCCUUAACCCCUCCUCACGUUGACUUCCAUCAUAUUAUUAUUAUUUUUUUUAUACACACAUGGCGGAUAGAGGCAUGCCCAUAUGAU